CAGCCGCCGCGGGAAUACGGAGGGUGCAAGCGUUAAUCGGAAUUACUGGGCGUAAAGCGCACGCAGGCGGUCUGACAAGUCAGAUGUGAAAUCCCCGGGCUUAACCUGGGAACUGCAUUUGAAACUGUCAGGCUGGAGUCUUGUAGAGGGGGGUAGAAUUCCAGGUGUAGCGGUGAAAUGCGUAGAGAUCUGGAGGAAUACCGGUGGCGAAGGCGGCCCCCUGGACAAAGACUGACGCUGAGGUACGAAAGCAUGGGGAGCAAACAGGAUUAGAUACCCCAGUAGUCCCUGUCUCUUAUAC
rnacentral:rRNA from 1 species